UCUCGAUAGCGUAAAGGUUAACGCAAUUUUGUAUGGAGUUGGAACGUCUGCCUACGUUUGCCGUUAGGGGCGCUGUUCCGACUGCCUACAAUUUGAAUUAACUUCUACGCGAUCGA
rnacentral:pre_miRNA from 9 species